CCUUCAUAAUAAUCCACCCUGCAAAAAUCAACACAAAAUCCAUACUUGUUCCAACCUUUAACCAAACCUGUCCAAGGAAAACCAAUGCAAAAAAGGUCAUUCAAAAAUCAGUUACACAAAAGAAAAUUGAUGUUGCGAUUUACACAAACUUUUUACCUAUUGCGAUUUACAUAAACAGCCCCUGCAAAAUCUUGAAGCAAAACUGGUUCAGAAAGCCAAUUUCACAAAUAGUUUAA